GCGCGAUUAGCUCAGUGGUAGAGCGCUUGCUUCACACGCAAGAAGUCACAGGUUCAAACCCUGUAUCGCGCA
rnacentral:tRNA from 1 species